ACAUGUAUAUCGGUACAGUUUCUAGUCAAAACUAUCCCUUAUCUCUCUCUCUCUCACACUCUUAUAAAGGGAACAAUAUUUCAGGAGAUUUUGUAGACAAAACCAUCUUCUUUCAUGGCUGCAGAAUCGAACUCAAAUUCUUCAACAAAUCUCAGAAUCAUAGUCCAAAACAACCCUUCACACUCACAACUCUCUGAAUUGGGUAUCAAAUCCUGGCCCAAGUAAGUCUCUCUCUCUCUCUCCCCCCACAUAUAUACACACACACACACACACACAUAUACAUAUAUAUGUAUGUAUGUAUGUUUUGUAUGUGUAUAUGUUCUCUUAUAUAUAAAUUAGCUUUGUGUUUUUGGUGAAUAUUGAGAAGAUGGGGUUGCUCGCCGGGGAAGUACCAGCUAAAAUUUGAUGCUGAAGAAACU
rnacentral:lncRNA from 1 species